CAGUGUUACAUGAAUGGCCUCAAUGAAUCACACAUUAAUAUAUUAUAUCUAUUCACAUCCUUGUGUAACUCCCUCCCACACUGACUCUGAGCUUGGCCACAUGACGUGCUUUGGCUAACAAAAUAUUAGCCAAUGAGUCACAAGCAGAAGCAUAAAAGGCCCUGUGCUCUGAGGUUUGUGCUCUCUCUCUGUCUCUCAUUGCAGGGAACUUUUCUGCUAUCACAAGAAGAAGCCUGGCUAGUCUACUGGAAGAUGAGACCACACGGAACAGACACAAGUCAUCCCAGCUGAGACACCAAAGCAGCCAGGCCCCAGCUGACCCACCAGCAGGCUGCAGCUGCAUGAGUGAUCCAGCUGAGGCCAGAAGACCUGCUCAGCUGAGCCCAGGUCAACUUGCUGACCUGCAGAAUUGAUGAAUCUUCAGAAGCUUUGAGGGAAAUCACUGUAAGACAAAAAAGAAAUGGCAUAGCAUGAAGUGGAGUAGCUUAUGGAACUGGCCCACCUCAGUCCAAAAGAAUAACAUAUGUGCAGCUAUUUUAUGGGAAACUGCAGCAACUUUGUUUGGCAUAUGGUGAUCAGCAACACCAGUCAUCAUCUUAUCUGUUCCUACAAGAAAGAAAAAUUUUUACAUGAAUUCUGCCAGAGCUUUCAAAAUUUUCCCAAGGUUCUGCGUAGCUAUCUUGUUUCAGCUGCUAAUCCCGUGCUAUCUCAAAGUGAAUGCGAUACAUUGUCAAGCCACAUGUCUGAGUCCACAGACCACGGCCAAUGCCCUGCCCAAGGUGGCCUCUGUCUUGCCACGUGCUCAGAGCCCAGCCUCUCAGCCAAGAGCUAAUGUGGAGGUGGGCAGUGUGCAUCCCUUGGGAAGGUUCAUGACUCCAGUUGCUGGGAGGGAUGCCAGCCCUGCUUCCAGGAGAGCCUUGCCUGUUCCAUCCUUCCUGUACCCAGGGGUCUUGUGAGGGAGGGUGGUACAAGUACCACCUCCUCCCAUAAGGUGCGGGGCCUAGGAGGAAGGUAGUGCAACUGAUCAGAGAAGCAGAAGGAAGCCCAAUUUGGCCUCAGCACCAAACCCCUCUUCUCAAUACAGCUUUAUCAGAAACAAAGUGGGCGUUUUGAUUUCUGACUCCUAUGCCCAUUUAUCAAUCGCUCUGGCCACAGUAUAAAAGCAAAGUAAAGAGCACUCAAAAGCUGUCAUUAACUGAUCUACUGACUGUUUUGUAAUUUCUUGGGGACCCCAGCACCCAGUGGGCAGAGUCUGGCUGCCCUUCUGGUGAGGUGGUGGCCGGGAUAACCAAGCAGCAGGCCGUCCUGGGUCCCUCCCCAAGGGAGUAGAAUCAGAUGAAAUCUAAGAAGGGGCAGGUUUGUGAGAGCCACCACGUCUCGGGCCUCUUGUUGAAAGUGGCUGCAGGAUCAAACAGUCUGGACACAGCCCAAAGGCACCGAGACAAAACGAUCCUAUCAGCCUCAUGUCUGGAGGAAGCAGGUUGGAAAGAAAGAAUCUUAGUCCAGUCCCCUUUGCUGGGACCUGCAGGGAAACUAUAACUCAGAGAGGUGUGAAAACUGAGAUCCUUGAUUUUUGACUUGGACAGAAAGUCCCACCAACUCUCCUGGGGACACUGUGUUUCACAGGCUGUGGCAGACCAUGUCCCCUGAGUGCAUGCCAAGACCCUGUGACAAAGCCCUCCGGCCGAGGGACCUCCCAUUCCCUUCCUGGUCUCCAGUUCACCGAUGAUACAGACACCUUUAUCUGAGCCUGCAGUGAAUGACUGACCCCCGUCAUCCAUGGAACAGAUGGCUCAUGACUUUUAGAAGCCCUGGGAAGGCUCCCCUUCUCCCAAAAUUCUUUCCUGUCUGCUCACCUAUGCCUCCAAUUCCUUUAACAAAGUAUCCUAUAAUUAAAGGAGCUUAAAUGGCAACCAUGGGUUACAUCCAAAGCAAGGUGCACAUCUGUGACACAGAAUGCCUUCCGGAAGGCAGAGCUGAUGAGAGGAGUGCAGGGAGGACCCUGGAACAGAAGCGUGAGGAGGCCGCAGAGGGCAGCAGCACGGAUGCGGGAAAGACUGGCCCCAAGUUUGAGAGACACGUCUUCACCCUCCUAUUUCCACCACUGGUUGGUCCGGGCUGAAGCACUCUCCCGGAUUCUCCAGCUCUUGACAGUAGAGGGUGUUACCUUCACUGAGCACCCGAAGACCAAGAUCUCUAAAACUUCAGUGUGUAGGAGAAUUAAUUGGGCCUCUUGUUAAAAUGGAGAUUCCCAGGCAUGACCCCUGAGCUUGUGGUUUAAGGACUUUGGGGAGAUCCUGGGAAUCUGAGUGAUUAGGGAGCACACAGUCGUGGAAAUUCUGAGGCUCGAGGUCCCAGGACCCCACGUGGAGAAGCCCUGCCUCACACACUCCUAGUACAGAGGGAGGUGGGUGCCGAGUCCCAAAAGACAUGGGAGAGGGGAUUCAGGUCGUGAGGAGACAGACCCUGGGCCUCAGUCUCCCGUCCCGUCCAGGGUAGGGUCCAGAACUCAAAACUCAACCAAUGCUCUUCAAUUUAAUCCAGGAAAAGCAAAAGUAACAGCAAAGCCUAAGGAAUGAGCCUAUCACAUAAGUGUUGUUUACAAAGGACUCCAGAAGGGCCCCUUAAUAACAUGUCUCAGUGCAGAGAAAUACCAGGUGAAGAACACAGCUUUCAAGAACGUUAUUUUCAAAAGAGCAGACUGUCUCCAGGGGCUGAUGUGUCUCCCCAAGUGGCCGACUCAAACGUGGAAACGGGAGUGAAUUUGAGUCAGAGAGGCCUUCCUCCAAUAAUUGUCUAACAAUUCACACCCUCUCUCCCCGCUGAAUGUGUUGCCUUAGAACACAUCACUACGCUUUACUCAUCUGUCCUGUUCAUUACCCGCCUCCCCCAGCUGAAGGGAAGUUCCAUGCGG